rnacentral:lncRNA from 1 species
CUGUGAUGUCACCCAGUUGAACAUACAUAUGUACAGCAAUGUGAAUUUUGGAAAUUCUGCUCCAUUCUUGGCCUUGCUUCCAAUUCCUAUCUCCAAGAAAAAUAAAGGAGAGAAUCAAAAGGAUUUGUCUUCCCUCCAGCAAUGAGUGAUAGUUCUGGAGUUGUCUCUGCAAGGGGACCAAGUGUUAGCUUUGAUCUUAGGCUACCACACUCUUAAAAAACAACAUAGAGAUAGGGAAAAGAAGAUUGACCAACACUGACCUUCUGAAUACUAUGUCUAUUCUUUAACCACAAUUAUGAGGGAUCGAACUCAGGACCUUGUGCUUGCAAGGCAGGCGGUGGAACCACUGAGCUAAAUCCCUGGCCCUUCGUCUCUCAUCUUGAUGAUAGAACCAUCUUUUGGCUGGAUUUGCUAUUGUCCCCUGCCUACAACUUUAGCCAGAUGGAAGCAAUCUUCUUUACAGUUUUCUACAUGAAAUCAAUCUGCCAACAGGAGCAAAUUCAUUUUCAACUUUUUCUUUUAGAAGAAUGACAAGUUAUCUCUGAUGUCUGGU